rnacentral:rRNA from 1 species
CCUACGGGAGGCAGCAGUGAGGAAUAUUGGUCAAUGGACGAGAGUCUGAACCAGCCAAGUAGCGUGAAGGAUGACUGCCCUAUGGGUUGUAAACUUCUUUUAUAUGGGAAUAAAACGUUCCACGUGUGGGAUUUUGUAUGUACCAUAUGAAUAAGGAUCGGCUAACUCCGUGCCAGCAGCCGCGGUAAUACGGAGGAUCCGAGCGUUAUCCGGAUUUAUUGGGUUUAAAGGGAGCGUAGGUGGAUUGUUAAGUCAGUUGUGAAAGUUUGCGGCUCAACCGUAAAAUUGCAGUUGAAACUGGCAGUCUUGAGUACAGUAGAGGUGGGCGGAAUUCGUGGUGUAGCGGUGAAAUACUUAGAUAUCACGAAGAACUCCGAUUGCGAAGGCAGUUCACUGGACUGCAACUGACACUGAGGCUCGAAAGUGUGGGUAUCAAACAGGAUUAGAUACCCGAGUAGUC